UUGCCUUCUGUGGGUUUUAUAGAGAGAU
rnacentral:piRNA from 1 species